rnacentral:tRNA from 1 species
CGCUAAGAAGCUAAAACGGGUUAAGCGUUAGCCUUUUAAGCUAAUAACUGGUGACUCCCAACCACCCCUAGCGA